UUUAAUUUAUUUCCUUUCAUCUAUUCAUACUUUCAUUUCCUCCUUCCUUCAUAUAUUCCUAGUUUUACUAGUUUUAAAAUAUCCAAUUUCAACCACAAAACAGGAUAAUGGGUUUAAUUUUCUUACUUGGAUAUUAUCAAGAUUCAAAGAAAACGAAAAAAAAGAUCCUUCACAUCAAAUUCAAGCAUGUAAUAUAAGAAAUAAAACAAUGGAUUACAUACAUAUCUGAUGAAAUAAUUAUAUAUCGAUCAGAAAGCUGAUGUGCAGCUCCUAUUCUGUACUUAAUAAAAUCAAAUAUAUGAAAAAAUAAAUGCUUGUCUGAAGAUUUAUUUGAACAUAAUUGUCAAUCAAAACACUUAAGGAUAUUAUUGAAUAUAUUAUGAUGAAUUUUUGGAUUAGGUAUGAAUUUAAUUAAAUGAUGAAUAUUUAUGACGAGUCUGAUAUAAUGAAGAAUAGGCUACCACUGAAAUAUUUUUAAUAUUCUUUAUAAUGAAUUUAUUUUAUAGAAUACCUAUGGCAAUAUAGUUUGUGAUGUCUAACAUAGAAAUCAGCUCAACAUGAAGAUUAUUACCAAUUUUAUUUUAUAUAUAUAUUAUAUUUAAUAAAUAAUUUGAAGAUUUUGAAUCUAAUCCUAUGUUAUU